UGUUGGUUUCAAAAUGUUAAGCUAGCUUGUUUAGCACUCGUGGAACGGGGUCAGAUGUAAAAUAAUUUUAAAAUAGAAUGUUGGAAGAUUUUUUUUUCGAUAGAUACCGGGACAACCACCCGUAAAAAUGGCACAUGCAUCUGUAUUUAAUUAUUUGCGUGUGUGUGUGAGAAAUGUAUUUUAAUUUCUUUAUUUAACUUGAAAUGUUUGUAAAGGUUUUAUCACUGAACUAACAUGAAUUUUCUUUUAAGUGUGUGUGUGUGUGUAAAAAAAAUCGCUUUCUGCUUCGUGUCAAGUUCCAAUUUUGUAAUUAGAUUACGUUAAUGAUCCUCAAAUACUACUUUAAAGAUUGACAGUUACUCUUAUUUCUGUUCUAAAUGUAGAAAUGUGCUAGUGCUCAGUGCAGGGCUUAUCUUUCUCGUGGAAUACAGGGCCAAAUCCACUUGUACUCCCUGUGGUGUUAUGCUAUCACUGAAUUAAAGUUUCAAAAGUGCAGUCCAUUUAUUAAGUACAAUUCAGUUGUAUUUGUCUUAUUACAAUACAUUUUCUUUUAAUUUUUCUUUUCAAACAUUUAUUUAUGUACAGGUGAAGUGUUAAUGCUCAAAUUGUGCAUUAUGUUCAGAAAUAAAAAAAAUGACUGGGUUGACAA